GCGCCUAGUUGGUUAUAGCAGCUGACUCUUAAUCAGCGGGUCCGGGGUUCGAGUCCCUGGCG
rnacentral:tRNA from 1 species